rnacentral:lncRNA from 10 species
UUCAUGCAGUCACCCUCUGAUAUGGUUUGGCUGUGUCCACACCAUAUCUCAACUUGAAUUGUAUCUCCCAGGAUUCCUGCAUGUUGUGGGAGGGACCCAGUGGGAGGUAACGGAAUCACGGGGGCUGGUCUUUCCUGUGCUAGUCUCGUGAUAGUGAAUAAAUCUCACGAGAUCUGAUGGGUUUAUCCGGUGUUUCUGCUUUUGCUUCCUCCUCAUUUUUCUCUUGCUGCCACCACGUGAGAAGUGCCUUUCGCCUCCCGCCAUGAUUCUGAGGCCUCCCUAGCCAUGGGGACCUGUCGUCGCUGCCCUCAGCCUCCAGAUGCAGCCCCCCUGCCACCUUCAGGACCCCUGGCUCUCCCCUGGACUCAGUAGCGAAAGGGUUUAUGUGCUCGGAGGGAGACCUUCAGGAAUCUGUGCAUAGAAUGCCAUAGUGCAGAGGAAAGUCUUCUUUCUGAAACCAGCCCAACUUUUCUCCCAGAGAGUAUCAUGGAACUGAACUUUCAAGAUCAUGGCAUCUGGACAUCGAGAAAACAGAACCCUCAUCUGGCCACCUGCUGCUUUUUGACCAAUUCCCAUAUAAACCGCUAACUUCAGUCAGUUGGAGGGAUGGAUUUGAGAUUUGCCUUCUGUCUCUCAGGUGAUGUCACCAGCAAUAAAGCCUUCUUCCCUGGCAAUACU